rnacentral:rRNA from 1 species
CCUACGGGGGGCUGCAGUCGAGAAUUAUUCACAAUGGGGGAAACCCUGAUGGUGCGACGCCGCGUGGGGGAAUGAAGGUCUUCGGAUUGUAAACCCCUGUCAUGUGGGAGCAAAUUAAAAAGAUAGUACCACAAGAGGAAGAGACGGCUAACUCUGUGCCAGCAGCCGCGGUAAUACAGAGGUCUCAAGCGUUGUUCGGAAUCACUGGGCGUAAGGCGUGCGUAGGCUGUUUCGUAAGACGUGUGUGAAAGGCGCGGGCUCAACCCGCGGACGGCACAUGAUACUGCGAGACUAGAGUAAUGGAAGGGGAACCGGAAUUCUCGGUGGAGCAGUGAAAUGCGUAGAUAUCGAGAGGAACACUCGUGGCGAAGGCGGGUUCCUGGACAUUAACUGACGCUGAGGCACGAAGGCCAGGGGAGCGAAAGGGAUUAGAUACCCUUGUAGUC